rnacentral:lncRNA from 1 species
CGGGUUAUAUCCGACCGUAUCCGUUUCUGUAUCCGAUUCGGAUCAGAUUUUGAUCUUAUUUUUUUGGUCCGAUCGGAUCCGGAUACGGAUUCGAAUAUUCAUUUCAAAAAUUUUCCGAAUACGAAUAUGGAUACGGAUACACAUGAUUUUUCCAGAUUCGGAUUCAGAUCCGGAUAUCCGUUUAAAAACAGUAAGUGAAAAGAAGAAGUUGAAGUUAAGUUAAACCAGAGAACUUCUUAAGUGAUUAACCAAACCUAAAUUAAAAGAAAAUUCAGAUAUCGGAUGACCGUCACUUAAGAUAGUAACUCAAAUACGAAAUAUCCUAUUCGAAUAAAAUUUUUCGAAUCACCUUGCAUGCCUGAAAGGCUCAAACCUCUUGUUUGUCUGUUUCGUCCCUCUUUCCUCUGUCGUCUUCAAGCAACUAGGCUUUCAAAGGUUCCGUCCAUUUUCUAGUUUCCACCUAGCAACUGCAAUCAGCUACAGUCGUGAGAUACCUUAGAGGAGCCAUAGAUCCUGUCUGCUUCAGUGAUGAGCAAUCUUGAGCAGU